AUUGAACGCUGGCGGCAGGCCUAACACAUGCAAGUCGAGCGGAUGAAGGGAGCUUGCUCCUGGAUUCAGCGGCGGACGGGUGAGUAAUGCCUAGGAAUCUGCCUGGUAGUGGGGGAUAACGUCCGGAAACGGGCGCUAAUACCGCAUACGUCCUGAGGGAGAAAGUGGGGGAUCUUCGGACCUCACGCUAUCAGAUGAGCCUAGGUCGGAUUAGCUAGUUGGUGGGGUAAAGGCCUACCAAGGCGACGAUCCGUAACUGGUCUGAGAGGAUGAUCAGUCACACUGGAACUGAGACACGGUCCAGACUCCUACGGGAGGCAGCAGUGGGGAAUAGUGGACAAUGGGCGAAAGCCUGAUCCAGCCAUGCCGCGUGUGUGAAGAAGGUCUUCGGAUUGUAAAGCACUUUAAGUUGGGAGAAAGGGCAGUAAGUUAAUACCUUGCUGUUUUGACGUUACAAACAGAAUAAGCACCGGCUAACUUCG
rnacentral:rRNA from 1 species